AGGUGCAGAACAAUUGCUUUAGAAACAGGAGCUCAGAAUGUGCAGAUGUGUUCCACUGUUCUCCAGUUGUCUUUUAGUCCCAAACAACUUGUUCAGAUGUUCACCUUUCCCUUAAUAUAUGCAUCAUUCCAGUUUGUAAAUGGGAUGCUUCUUGUGGCAGGUAAGAACUUAACAUAUUCUAUACAAAAAUAAAAUAAAAUUUACUGAUUUUCCGCUGGUUUAAUUUUGGCAUACUGGUAAACCUAAAUUUAAAGUUACUCUUUAGUAUUUCAUUUGUUAUACUUCCUGCUUUCUCCCAUUAUAUAUUAUUAAAUAAUGAGGUAAAAGGUUUUGAGUCAUUUAUAAACAUUUUAAAAACAUAAAAACUAUUCACAAUAAAUAAGCGAAAUUAAUAAAUCAAAAUUAACCUCAGAGCUAAAUUAUGCCAUAGUUUUAGUAUAAAUUGUUCAGCUCCUAUACCAAUUAUCUCAUUUGCAACUACUCUAAAUGUCCUUGUCAACAGAAAUGAGAGAGAAAAAGAUAGGAAAAACAAGUACCCUCAAAUGCCAGUUUGUAGUAGACCUAUCUGUUUCAGGUGUAACCUCACAGAAUUGCUACUCAUUUCAUGAAUCUUGUUUAUUAGACAAUUUUCAUUAAAGUAACACUAAAGGGUCAGGAACACACAAACAUAUUCCUGACCCUAUAAUGUUAAAAACACAAUUUACCCCCUUUCUCCCCCUAAAUAUAGUAAUAUCCUACCUUUAUUCCAGUCUGCUGGUGCUGGCUCUGCCCCUGAUCUGCCUCCUUGGCUGACAUCAUCAGAAGUGGUGAUCUCAGCCAAUCACAAUGCUUUCCCAUAGGAAAGCAUUGGACUGCCUGAGAUUGUCAAGGGGGCAGAGCCAGCACAAGCCAAACACAGCUCUGGACAAAUAGUAUCUCUUCAUAGAGAUGCAUGAGGAAAGUUCAGUGUCUCCAUGCAGAUGGUGGAGACACCGUAUGACAGCAUUGUGUAACACUGCCCCAGAAAGCACCUCUAGUAGCCAUAUGAGAGGCCACCAGUGGAGGUAUCCCUAGGCUGAAAUGUAAACAUGGCAAUAUCUUAGAAAAUAAAGUGUUUACUGCAAAAGGCCUGAAGGGGCUGAUUACACUCACCAGAACAACUACAUUAAGCUGUAGUUGUUCUCGUGACUAUAGUGUCCCUCUAGCUUAUUUGGAGGGUUAAAGAAACACUAUAGUUACCAAAACAACUCUAGCUUAAUUAAGUAGUUUUUGUGUAUAGAUCAUGCCUCACUGCUCAAUUCUCUGCCAUUUAGAAUUUUGUGUCUCCCCAUCUGUGAUUUAUAGUCUGUAUUUCAUUUUUAAUUAGAUGUAACUUACUUUAAAAAAAAUAAAAAAAAAUGUAUCUUCUGCUCUGUAAAUAUAUCUUUAAUUGCACACAGAAGGCUCCUGCAGGGUCUUGCAAGCUAUUAACAGAGCAGGAGAUAAGAAAUUCUAAAUUAAACAGACUGUGCAAUAAAGGAAGUGUCUAGGAAGGCUGUGUAAGUCACACGCAGUGAGGUGUGAGUAAGCAUACGCAUGUUCUAUACAUCAAAACAUACAUUUCUUAAUUAAGCAAUUUGUUUUUAGUGACUAUAGUGUCCCUUUAAAGGACCACUAUAGUGCCAGGAAAACAUACUCGUUUUCCUGGCACUAUAGUGCCCUGAGGGUGCCCCCACCCUCAGGGACCCCCUCCCGCCCGGCUCUGGAAGGGGAAAAGGGGUAAAAACUUACCUUUUUCCAGCGCUGGGCGGAGAGCUCUCCUCCUCCUCUCCGCCUCCGUUACGCCCCGCCGGCUGAAUGCGCACGCGCGGCAAGAGCUGCGCGCGCAUUCAGCCGGUCACAUAGGAAAGCAUUCAUAAUGCUUUCCUAUGGACGCUGGCGUGCUCUCACUGUGAAAAAUCACAGUGAGAAGCACGCAAGCGCCUCUAGUGGCUGUCAAUGAGACAGCUACUAGAGGAUUAGGGGGAAGGCUUAACCCAUUCAUAAUUAUAGCAGUUUCUCUGAAACUGCUAUAAUUAUGAAAAAAUGGGUUAACCCUAGAAGGACCUGGCACCCAGACCACUUCAUUAAGCUGAAGUGGUCUGGGUGCCUAGAGUGGUCCUUUAAGCAUGAAAACCAGAAGUUCUUGAAAGGAACCUUCAUGUGUGGUACAGCCAUGCUUUGAUAUUCCCAAAUCUUAAAAUAAUUACUUAAACUCUUUAUUAUGUUUGCAUGCUUUGCAUAUUGAAUUUCAGUCACAAUAUUUUCUGAUUGACGGUGUACAUUAAUAAGCAAUUGUGCCUUAUAUAGUAGUCAUUGAGUAUGUGUAUAAACAUUUGUUGAAUUAUAGUCAAAUCGUGGUAGUUUCUUCUAGAUAAUUUAGAAUAUAUUUUAAAACAUAUUUGAUAUUUUAGCUUACCAGCUGUACAAGAGACUGUUUUGGAAAGCCUCCAAAGAAAUAUCCAUGAAGUUUCCUGAGAGAUGCAUUACAAUCAAUAACCUGGACAUAAAUGGAAUUGUCAACCAAGACUUUGAAUAUGAAGGUGUAACACAUAUUGGUAAUACCGUGUCUAGCACACUGUGACAUAUCGGAUAUAGCUACAAUCUCAUACCUACUUAUGUGUUUGAAAGUGGUACCACAGUAAUUUAGCUAGAGGCCCUUUAGAAGAUUGGUUUCAGG
rnacentral:lncRNA from 1 species